CAGCUUGCUGGGUACUCGAGUGGCGAACGGGUGAGUAACACGUGGGUGAUCUGCCCUGCACUCUGGGAUAAGCCUGGGAAACUGGGUCUAAUACCGGAUAUGACCAACUGUCGCAUGGUGGUUGGUGGAAAGCUUUUGCGGUGUGGGAUGGGCCCGCGGCCUAUCAGCUUGUUGGUGGGGUAAUGGCCUACCAAGGCGACGACGGGUAGCCGACCUGAGAGGGUGAUCGGCCACACUGGGACUGAGACACGGCCCAGACUCCUACGGGAGGCAGCAGUGGGGAAUAUUGCACAAUGGGCGCAAGCCUGAUGCAGCGACGCCGCGUGAGGGAUGACGGCCUUCGGGUUGUAAACCUCUUUCACCAGGGACGAAGCGUGAGUGACGGUACCUGGAGAAGAAGCACCGGCCAACUACGUGCCAGCAGCCGCGGUAAUACGUAGGGUGCGAGCGUUGUCCGGAAUUACUGGGCGUAAAGAGCUCGUAGGCGGUUUGUCGCGUCGUCUGUGAAAUUCUGCAACUCAAUUGCAGGCGUGCAGGCGAUACGGGCAGACUUGAGUACUACAGGGGAGACUGGAAUUCCUGGUGUAGCGGUGAAAUGCGCAGAUAUCAGGAGGAACACCGGUGGCGAAGGCGGGUCUCUGGGUAGUAACUGACGCUGAG
rnacentral:rRNA from 1 species